CUGCUCCCUCUAGGAGGAAGUGUUAACAGCCCAGAUCUCAUGAGGGUCUCCUGCGGUUCAUCACAGCUGCUCUGGUUCAAGAUGGUGACGACCAUGUCCAACCUGAAGGAAACAACUACACAAAACCAUCCCUCCUGUCCUCCACAUUUUGCCUGCUGUGAGUCUCUCCCCAACUGUCUGGAACAAAGCAGCUAGCUCUGUUAGCACUCUGGGUGCAGCUCCUUGGGGUCAGCUAAGCUGCUCACCAUUUGUUCAUCUGUUUUCCUUCUUCCAAAAACCUCUUGUAAUUUCCUACUUCCUGUUGGAUCCUUUUUACUUAGCAAUUAUUUAUGCUUUGUUCCUUGUCUAUUGCCUUGUAUAAAUAGAGGAAAGAGAGAUCAAAAACACUUA
rnacentral:lncRNA from 1 species